rnacentral:rRNA from 1 species
CCCUUAGAUGUUCUGGGCCGCACGCGCGCUACACUGACGAAUGCAACGAGCUUAUAACCUUGGCCGAAAGGUCUGGGUAAUCUCCAAAUUUCGUCGUGAUGGGGAUAGAUUAUUGCAAUUAUUAAUCUUCAACGAGGAAUGCCUAGUAAGCGCAAGUCAUCAGCUUGCGUUGAUUACGUCCCUGCCCUUUGUACACACCGCCCGUCGCUACUACCGAUUGAAUGGCUUAGUGAGCCUUUGGGAUUGGCAGCUUGUACCGGCAACGGUAGCAGGCCGCUGAAAACUUAGGCAAACUUGGUCAUUUAGAGGAAGUAAAAGUCGUAACA